rnacentral:rRNA from 1 species
AUUGAACGCUGGCGGAAUGCUUUACACAUGCAAGUCGAACGGCAGCACGGGGGCAACCCUGGUGGCGAGUGGCGAGCGGGUAAGUAAUACAUCGGAACGUGCCCAGUCGUGGGGGAUAACGUAGCGAAAGUUACGCUAAUACCGCAUACGAUCUACGGUUGAAAGCGGGGGACCGUAAGGGCUCGCGCGAUUGGAGCGGCCGAUGUCAGGAUAGGUAGUUGGCGAGGUAAAGGCUCACCAGGCACACGAUCUGUAGCUGGUCUGAGAGGACGACCAGCCAGACGUGGGGUGAGACUCGGCACAGACUGCUACAGGAAGCAGCAGUGGGGAAUUUUGGACAAUGGGCGCAAGCCUGAUCCCACCAGUCCGCGUGCAGGGCGAAGGCCUUCGGGUUGUAAACUGCUUUUGUACGGAACGAAAAGGCUCUGGUUAAUACCUGGGGCUCAUGACGGUACCGUAAGAAUAAGCACCGGCUAACUACGUGCCAGCCGCCGCUGUAA